rnacentral:rRNA from 1 species
AAAUUAUGUGGGAAUCAUAAUGGCCGAAAAUCUAAGGUUUCUUGGGGAAGGUUCGUCCGCCCAAGGUAAGCCGGGAGCUAAGGCGAGGCCGAAAGGCGUAGUCGAUGCACAUACGGUUGAAAUUCCGUAGCCGCCGAAAUUGUUAAGCACAGGGACACAUAGAGAUAUCCGAACCCGGGCGUUGGUUGACCCGGGCGCAAGGGACCGAACAUCAGUAGGGAAGUCGGAGAUGCUCUGUGGCGAGAAAAGCUGUGUGAAUUGAUUAGGCGCCCGUACCGCAAACCGACACAGGUAGAUGAGGAGAGAAUCCUAAGGCCAACGGGAGAAGGGUUGUUAAGGAACUCGGCAAAUUGACCCCGUAACUUCGGGAUAAGGGGAGCCUCCUACGGGAGGCCGCAGUGAAUAGGCCCAAGCAACUGUUUACCAAAAACACAGGUCUCUGCUAAAUCGAAAGAUGACGUAUAGGGGCUGACGCCUGCCCGGUGCCGGAAGGAUAAGAGGAGAGCUUAGCGCAAGCGAAGGUUCGAAUUGAAGCCCCGGUAAACGGCGGCCGUAACGAUAACGGUCCUAAGGUAGCGAAAUUCCUUGUCAGGUAAGUUCUGACCCGCACGAAUGGCGUAAUGAUUUGGGCACUGUCUCAACAGCCCGCCCGGCGAAAUUGUAGUACUGGUGAAGAUGCCAGUUACCCGCAACUAGACGGAAAGACCCCAUGGAGCUUUACUGUAGCCUAAUACUGAAGAUCGGUAAUGCAUGUACAGGAUAGGUGGGAGCCAGCGAAACCCGGGCGUCAGCUCGGAUGGAGGCAACCUUGGAAUACCACCCUUGUAUUGCUGGUUUUCUAACCUGCGGCCAUGAAUCUGGUCGGGGGACACUGUUAGGUGGGCAGUUUGACUGGGGCGGUCGCCUCCAAAAGCGUAACGGAGGCGCUCAAAGGUUGGCUCAGCACGGACGGAAAUCGUGCAUAGAGUGCAAACGCAUAAGCCAACUUGACUGCGAGACCGACGGGUCGAGCAGGUACGAAAGUAGGAGUUAGUGAUCCGGUGGUAUGUGAGUGGAAAUGCCAUCGCUCAACGGAUAAAAGCUACCCUGGGGAUAACAGGCUGAUCUCCCCCAAGCCACAGCGACGGGGAGGUUUGGCACCUCGAUGUCGGCUCGUCACAUCCUGGGGCUGUAUUCGGUCCCAAGGGUUCGGCUGUUCGCCGAUUAAAGUGGCACGCGAGCUGGGUUCAGAACGUCGUGAGACAGUUCGGUCCCUAUCUGUUGCGGGCGCAGGAGAUUUGAAGGGAGCUGUCCUUAGUACGAGAGGACCGAGAUGGACAGACCUCUGGUGCACCAGUUGUCGUGCCAACGGCACAGCUGGGUAGCUACGUCUGGACGAGAUAAACGCUGAAAGCAUCUAAGUGUGAAACUCCCCCUAAGAUAAGAUCUCCCAUCCAUUAGGAGUAAGGGACGACAAAGACUAUGUCGUUGAUAGGUCGGAAGUGUAAGUGCAGUAAUGCAUUGAGCUGACCGGUACUAAUAACCCGAGGGCUUGACC